CCCAACUAAUAAAUUCUAAAAAAACAUGUUAUGUUUAUGAUAGCAUUCAUUCAAUUCGGAUUCGGACAUUCAAUUCGGACGAAUGUGGAAAGCUGCUUCGCGCUAUAUUGGUGGACUUUACAUAACGAUGACAAUUCAACAAUUCAACAAUUCAUAUACAUUCAUCAAACAUUUUUCAAAAGUGAUUCCGUUCUCAUUAGAAACGAAUUGAAUUUCUCAUUUGUUCAUGGUUUAUUUAAUUAGUCUUACGCUCUGUUCAAAUAUGUUAUAGAUUCAUUUAUUUUCAAUUGAUUCGCGCGAUUACAGUAUUUUCUAAAUAAGAACUAUUUGCUCUUUUGUUGCCCGUCCAGAGCGACCGCAGCCAGUCCCUAAACAUUGGACCAAAAGCCAAGGAUCGAGGAGCGAAGGACCAAAGGAGUACAGGACCAAGGACAGAGGACCGGUCUCUGUCCCGGUGAUGGGGCACUGAGUAAUAUUUAUUAUCACAAAACAUUUGUGCAAAUGUCCUGCUCGCAUAAGCAACGGCGCUGUCGGCCAGUCCUUGGAGAACAUUUAUCUUAUUAUCUUUGCAUAUAGCGGCGGCAGCAGCAACAAAGUCGCAUAAAUAAGACUCAGCGCGGCAACAACAAUGCGAUGAUGAGCAACAUUAGGCAAGGACAAACAGCGCAGGACGAAGGAUUCAGCAGGGCUCAGGGAAAACCAAAAGUCAAGUCAAGCCAACAGACCGCAGAGACAACAAUACAGGGGCGGAAAGUUGAAAUUUUUGGCAAGGCCUUGCCCACAUGGCAGUUGGUGGGAGGGGGCAGGCGACAGGGGAGCAGCCGCAAAAGUUGCUCAUACGCCUCGUGGCCCCCAUUUUGUAUUUGAUUUGGUUUGCUUUUGCCAUAGCACACACUUGCACACUCGCACACAUGGCAACUUUCUGCCUGUGGAAAUUUUUUAAUUGAUUAAAGCCGCAUUUGCAUUGCAGCUUACAAGAAGCUUAACAA
rnacentral:sRNA from 1 species